AAAUGGCACCCACCAGCGUCCAGCACUCGCCACAAGUGACAACCACCUUCCUGGGCGGGGAGUCACCAAAAGACUGGCGCCCCGCCAGCGACCACGCAAGCAGAGCAAAUUACUCACAAGGCGAUGUAAGACCUCAACCCGACCCGCUCUCCCCUUGUGGGGAAGGACUUGGACUAUGCCAAGUCUCCAGCCAGCAACGCAGAGAAGCGGACCUCUGCACGGGUCUGGGACCAGGGAGCUUCCUCACCGCCUCUCCACUCAGCAGAGGGACCGGCAGCUCUCAGAGGCUCAAUCCACCUCACCCAUUCCAUAGCCGACCUGAACAGAGACUGCAUGAAGUGGCCCAUUAGUGGCAUCGACUGAUUCUCUGGCCCUCCGAGACUGGCGCUCCCUAACUGUUGCCAAACCUCCUACCACUGCCGACCACCCUCACAACUCUCACGGACGCUCUCCGGACCCGCAUACCAGAGACUCGGGCUGUGACGGACGAGGGGGUCAUGCUAUACCCCACAACUGAGUACCGGACUGUUGUUGCCCUUUGUCUUACCAUUUGGUAAUUAUUAGUACCCAGGUUGAUACCCAGCUAACGUAAACUAUAUCCCCUAUGACCCCGCAGCCACACACCACUUAUUGCAGCCCACACAGGACGCUAAUGUCCGUGAUUAACACGUGACUCCCUGCACAUAGACAGAACCAUAACACUUGCGUAGCCAACCACCCGCCACACAACACGCUCAUCACGCCUAAGUUUCCCCACACGCACCACCUAUCCACAGUGGGAAUAUUAAACCUUAAAGCCAUACCUACUUUGUGUCUUUUCUACUCAGAUCAGUCGCUAGUAUAUAAAAUGUAUGUCUCACACCUAUGCAUAAUUAAGCAUAACUGUACUGUUUUAUUUAGCAAGGUCUAGUAUGUUUAUGGUCAGCAAGAAAUGUCACAAUCACUGCUGUACAUCGGCUUGUCUAACUAGCCUUACGGGCAACCCGCCGGUAAUAAUUUUUCACGC